GUGAGGAAUAUUGCGCAAUGGAGGCAACUCUGACGCAGCCAUGCCGCGUGCAGGAAGAAGGCGCUACGCGUUGUAAACUGCUUUUAACCGGGAAGAAACCCCAGGACGUGUCCUGGGUUGACGGUACCGGAGGAAUAAGCACCGGCUAACUUCGUGCCAGCAGCCGCGGUAAUACGAAGGGCGCAAGCGUUAUCCGGAUUCAUUGGGUUUAAAGGGUGCGUAGGCGGAGCGUUAAGUCAGUGGUGAAAUCCUGCAGCUUAACUGUAGACUUGCCAUUGAUACUGGCGCUCUUGAGUGCGCUUGAAGUGGGCGGAAUGUGCCGUGUAGCGGUGAAAUGCUUAGAUAUGGCACAGAACACCAAUUGCGAAGGCAGCUCACUAAGGCGAUACUGACGCUGAGGCACGAAAGCGUGGGGAUCGAACAGGAUUAGAAACCCUAGUAGUCC
rnacentral:rRNA from 1 species